rnacentral:rRNA from 1 species
UAGAGUUUGAUCAUGGCUCAGAUUGAACGCUGGCGGCAGGCCUAACACAUGCAAGUCGAGCGGAAACGACACUAACAAUCCUUCGGGAGCGUUAAUGGGCGUCGAGCGGCGGACGGGUGAGUAAUGCCUAGGAAAUUGCCUUGAUGUGGGGGAUAACCAUUGGAAACGAUGGCUAAUACCGCAUAAUGCCUACGGGCCAAAGAGGGGGACCUUCGGGCCUCUCGCUUCAAGAUAUGCCUAGGUGGGAUUAGCUAGUUGGUGAGGUAAUGGCUCACCAAGGCGACGAUCCCUAGCUGGUCUGAGAGGAUGAUUAGCCACACUGGAACUGAGACACGGUCCAGACUCCUACGGGAGGCAGCAGUGGGGAAUAUUGCACAAUGGGCGAAAGUCUGAUGCAGCCAUGCCGCGUGUAUGAAGAAGGCCUUCGGGUUGUAAAGUACUUUCAGUUGUGAGGAAGGGGGUAGCGUUAAUAGCGCUAUCUCUUGACGUUAGCAACAGAAGAAGCACCGGCUAACUCCGUGCCAGCAGCCGCGGUAAUACGGAGGGUGCGAGCGUUAAUCGGAAUUACUGGGCGUAAAGCGCAUGCAGGUGGUUCAUUAAGUCAGAUGUGAAAGCCCGGGGCUCAACCUCGGAACUGCAUUUGAAACUGGAGAACUAGAGUACUGUAGAGGGGGGUAGAAUUUCA